AGCAGAGAUGCUUUGGUGCCUUCGGGAACUCUGAGACAGGUGCUGCAUGGCUGUCGUCAGCUCGUGUUGUGAAAUGUUGGGUUAAGUCCCGCAACGAGCGCAACCCUUUAUCCUUUGUUGCCAGCGGUUAGGCCGGGAACUCAAAGGAGACUGCCAGUGAUAAACUGGAGGAAGGUGGGGAUGACGUCAAGUCAUCAUGGCCCUUACGAGUAGGGCUACACACGUGCUACAAUGGCGCAUACAAAGAGAAGCGACCUCGCGAGAGCAAGCGGACCUCAUAAAGUGCGUCGUAGUCCGGAUUGGAGUCUGCAACUCGACUCCAUGAAGUCGGAAUCGCUAGUAAUCGUGGAUCAGAAUGCCACGGUGAAUACGUUCCCGGGCCUUGUACACACCGCCCGUCACACCAUGGGAGUGGGUUGCAAAAGAAGUAGGUAGCUUAACCUUCGGGAGGGCGCUUACCACUUUGUGAUUCAUGACUGGGGUGAAGUCGUAACAAGGUAAGCGUAGUGCU
rnacentral:rRNA from 1 species